rnacentral:rRNA from 1 species
UACGGCGRAACUGCGAACGGCUCAUUAUAUAAGUUAUCGUUUAUUUGAUAGCACCUUGCUACUUGGGUAACCGUGGUAAUUCUAGAGCUAAUACAUGCUAAAAAUCCCGACUCCGGAAGGGAUGUGUUUAUUAGAUUCAAAACCAAUGCCCCCUGGGCUCACUGGUGAUUCAUGAUAACCGCUCGAAUCGCACGGCCUUGCGCUGGCGAUGGUUCAUUCAAAUUUCUUCCCUAUCAACUUUCGAUGUUUGGGUAGUGGCCAAACAUGGUUGCAACGGGUAACGGAGGGUUAGGGCUCGACCCCGGAGAAGGAGCCUGAGAGACGGCUACUACAUCCAAGGAAGGCAGCAGGCGCGCAAAUUACCCAAUCCCGACACGGGGAGGUAGUGACAAUAAAUACCGAUAUAGGGCUCUUUUGGGUCUUAUAAUUGGAAUGAGUACAAUUUAAAUCCCUUAACGAGGAACAAUUGGAGGGCAAGUCUGGUGCCAGCAGCCGCGGUAAUUCCAGCUCCAAUAGCGUAUAUUAAAGUUGUUGUGGUUAAAAAGCUCGUAGUUGAACCUUGGGCCUGGCUGGCCGGUCCGCCUCACCGCGUGCACUGGUCCGGCCGGGCCUUUCCCUCCGCGGAACCCCAUGCCCUUCGCUGGGCGUGGCGGGGAAACGGGACUUUUACUUUGAAAAAAUUAGAGUGCUCCAGGCAGGCCUAUGCUCGAAUACAUUAGCAUGGAAUAAUGAAAUAGGACGCGCGGUUCUAUUUUGUUGGUUUCUAGGACCGCCGUAAUGAUUGAUAGGGACAGUCGGGGGCGUCAGUAUUCAACCGUCAGAGGUGAAAUUCUUGGACCGGUUGAAGACUAACUACUGCGAAAGCAUUCGCCAAGGAUGUUUUCAUUAAUCAGGAACGAAAGCUAGGGGAUCGAAGACGAUCAGAUACCGUCGUAGUCUUAGCCAUAAACUAUGCCGACUAGGGAUCGGGCGAUGUUAUUCUGUGACUCGCUCGGCACCUUCCGAGAAAUCAAAGU